rnacentral:rRNA from 1 species
AUUGAACGCUGGCGGCAUGCCUUACACAUGCAAGUCGAACGGUAACGGGCCUUCGGGUGCCGACGCGUGGCGAACGGGUGAGUAAUACAUCGGAACGUGCCCGAUCGUGGGGGAUAACGAGGCGAAAGCUUUGCUAAUACCGCAUACGAUCUACGGAUGAAAGCAGGGGACCGCAAGGCCUUGCGCGGACGGAGCGGCCGAUGGCAGAUGAGGUAGUUGGUGGGAUAAAAGCUUACCAAGGCGACGAUCUGUAGCUGGUCUGAGAGGAUGAUCAGCCACACUGGGACGGAGACACGGCCCAGACUCCUGAGAGAGGCCGCAGUGGGGAAUGUUGGACAAUGGGCGCAAGCCUGAUCCAGCGAGGCCGCGUGCAGGAUGAAGGCCUUCGGGUUGUAAAAUGCUUUUGUACGGAACGAAAAGCCUUCUUUUAAUACAGGAGGGUCAUGACGGUACCGUAAGAAUAAGCACCGGCUAACUACGUG